AUUGAACGCUGGCGGCAUGCUUUACACAUGCAAGUCGAACGGUAACAGGCCGCAAGGUGCUGACGAGUGGCGAACGGGUGAGUAAUGCAUCGGAACGUGCCCAGUCGUGGGGGAUAACGCAGCGAAAGCUGUGCUAAUACCGCAUACGAUCUAUGGAUGAAAGCGGGGGACCGUAAGGCCUCGCGCGAUUGGAGCGGCCGCUGUCAGAUUAGCUAGUUGGUGGGGUAAAGGCCAACCAAGGCGACGAUCUGUAGCUGGUCUGAGAGGACGACCAGCCACACGGGGACUGAGACACGGCCCAGACUCCUACGGGAGGCAGCAGUGGGGAAUUUUGGACAAUGGGCGCAAGCCUGAUCCAGCAAUGCCGCGUGCAGGAAGAAGGCCUUCGGGUUGUAAACUGCUUUUGUACGGAACGAAACGGUCUGGGUUAAUACCCUGGGCUAAUGGCGGUACCGUAAGAAUAAGCACCGGCUAACUACGUGCCAGCCGCCGCAGUAA
rnacentral:rRNA from 1 species